GACGUAGGGCGCGAGCGUUGUCCGGAUUUAUUGGGCGUAAAGAGCUCGUAGGCGGUCUGUUGCGUCCGCUGUGAAAACUCGGGGCUUAACCCCGAGCCUGCAGUGGAUACGGGCAGACUAGAGGUAGGUAGGGGAGAAUGGAAUUCCCGGUGUAACGGUGAAAUGCGCAGAUAUCAGGAGGAACACCGAUGGCGAAGGCGGGUUGCUGGGCCAACACUGACGCUGAGGCGCGAAAGCCAGGGGAGCAAACGGG
rnacentral:rRNA from 1 species